AUGCAUGCAAGUCGAGCGAUGAGACUCCUACGGGAGCACAUCAGCGGCAGACGGGUGAGUAACACGUAGAUGACGUACCCUCAAGACGGGGAUAACGGAUGGAAACAUGCGCUAAUACCGGAUGACCUUACGAUGUCAGAAUGGUAAGGAAAGCUACGGCGCUUGAGGAGCGGUCUGCGGCCCAUCAGCUAGUUGGUAGGGUAAAGGCCUACCAAGGCGAAGACGGGUAGGGGGUGUGAGAGCACGGCCCCCCACAAUGGGACUGAGACACGGCCCAUACUCCUACGGGAGGCAGCAGCAGGGAAUAUUGCACAAUGGACGGAAGUCUGAUGCAGCGACGCCGCGUGAGUGAAGAAGGCCUUCGGGUUGUAAAACUCUUUUGAGGGGGAAGAGCGAGGACGGUACCCCUGGAAUAAGCGUCGGCUAACUACGUGCCAGCAGCCGCGGUAAGACGUAGGACGCGAGCGUUAUCCGGAUUUACUGGGCGUAAAGCGUCUGUAGGCGGAUGUGUAAGUUGGGCGUGAAAGCUCCGGGCUUAACCCGGAGAGGCCGUUCAAUACUGCAUAACUUGAGGGCGUCAGAGGGGAGCGGAAUUCCCGGUGUAGCGGUAAAAUGCGCAGAGAUCGGGAGGAACACCAGUGGCGGAGGCGGUUCCCUGGGGCACACCUGACGCUGAGAGACGAAAGCUAGGGGAGCGAACAGGAUUAGAGACCCUGGUAGUCCUAGCCCUAAACGAUGAAUGCUAGGCGUGGGAUCGAAUGGUUCCGUGCCGGAGCGAACGCGAUAAGCAUUCCGCCUGGGGAGUACGGCCGCAAGGUUAAAACUCAAACGAAUUGACGGGGCCCCGCACAAGCAGCGGAGCGUGUGGUUUAAUUCGAUGCUACACGAAGAACCUUACCUGGGUUUGACAUGUAGGUGGUAGUGAAUCGAAAGGUGAACGACCCUUCGGGGAGCCUACACAGGUGCUGCAUGGCUGUCGUCAGCUCGUGCCGUGAG
rnacentral:rRNA from 1 species